rnacentral:siRNA from 1 species
UCAGAGUGAGUUACUUCCUAUU